GAGGACAGCGCAGCCCACAAGGAUAAGGGUACAUCUGGUUGGUGUCUUGAUCGCUACAAAUGCUAGUGACCAAGACAGCUGAUCUGCAGAUGACUUGUCUCCUCCACCCACGGACCAGAUGCUGUUGUAGCCCCUGGCCUGCUGCUGUGGGAGCCAGUGCCACUGAUCUCAGCCAAGAGGCUAAGAAGUGAUGAGCACACUCACGAGCCAUCAGGACGCAGAAGGAAGACUGCUACUUAACCUCAGAACCCACUUCGGACUGCUAUGUGUCUUGAAAAUUUCAGCAAUGGAUGUAAGGAUAUUUCCUGAUGUCAUGGAAACUGGAAAAGCCAGUGGAAACCAGGCAGACACAGUUCAUAAGGAGAAUACAGUGGAUCUCUCAAACAACCCCUGACAUCCCUCUACCACGAUGUCAAGACAAAGGAGUCCACUGAAAUGUACUUUUUAUUAUUCACCAGAUGGUCAGGCUACAGGGACACAGCCAUUCUGUCCCUCUGCUCAGGACAACUGUGAAAAGCUCCUCUCUGGGAGACUGGCAACAUUAGAAAGAUUGUAAACGUGGCCACUGAGACUGUAGCUCAGUACUGGCCCAUUACUGGAGAAGACCAGCCCCCACUGUUGCAUUUUAAACACUGCAUAUCCUUCAACCCUCUAAACCUUUCAGUGCCUAGCCGACAAAUGUGUGCACACCUGCACACUUACAAAAUGCACUCACACAA
rnacentral:lncRNA from 1 species